UACACCAUAACACGACGAAAUAUUAUCACGUGUUCCGAGAUGCUUCGCUUCGUUUUGCUCGCUUUCCUCUUCGCUGCGGCGACGUCGCAGCAGGAGGCUCCGUGCAGGUGCGGCGCCUUCGUCACCGCCGACGCUGGGCAGCUCAUGCUGUACGAGCUUCCCCCUGUGGAAGUGCACAGGUGAAG